rnacentral:tRNA from 1 species
GCGGGCUUAGCUCAGUUGGUUAGAGCGCGAGUUUGUGGAGCUUGAGGUCGCCGGUUCGAUCCCGGUAGCCCGCCCCA